CCUGCGGAGGCUGAACAGUUUAGGCGUUGGUCUGUAAAACCAAUUUAAGUAGGUGCGACUCCUACCCGCAGGA
rnacentral:tRNA from 1 species